rnacentral:rRNA from 2 species
UGACCUCAGAUCAGGC